rnacentral:rRNA from 1 species
CCUACGGGAGGCAGCAGUGAGGAAUAUUGGUCAAUGGGCGGAAGCCUGAACCAGCCAAGUCGCGUGAGGGAAGACGGUCCUAUGGAUUGUAAACCUCUUUAGGCGGGGAGCAAUGCCGGGCACGUGUGCCCGGAGGGAGAGUACCCGCAGAAUAAGCGUCGGCUAAAUCCGGGCCAGCAGCCGCGGUAAUACGGAGGAUGCGAGCGUUAUCCGGAUUUAUUGGGUGUAAAGGGUGCUUAGGCGGAUUUUUAAGUCAGCGGUAAAAUGUCCGGGCUCAACCCGGGCCGGCCGUUGAGACUGGGGAUCUUGAGUGGGCGAGGAGUAUGCGGAAUGCGUGGUGUAGCGGUGAAAUGCAUAGAUAUCGCGCAGAACUCCGAUUGCGAAGGCAGCAUACUGGCGCCCGACUGACGCUGAGGCACGAAAGCGAGGGGAGCGAACAGGAUUAGAUACCCGGGUAGUC